rnacentral:misc_RNA from 1 species
UUAAGUUCAGCGGGUAUCCUUAUCUGAUUUGAGGUCAAACUUCAGUCCGCGAAGGGACAUCAGGUUUAACGCCGCUCACCAACGCCAGAUUAUGAAAAAAUGUAAACACCAACUUCAUAAAACCUAGCAAUAGCUUACGGUCGUGCAGCAAGUUUUAAAGCGGAGGCGAGCCAUAGGCUCAGGCCUCACGCCCAGUACCA